UACAUACUCUCUUCGUCCCAAAAUUUUUGUCUUAGAUUUGUCUAGAAAUGGAUGUAUCAAAAUACUAAAACAUGACUAGAUACAUUCAUAUCUAGACAAAUCUAAGACAAAAUUUUUGGGACGGGGGGAGUAUAUG
rnacentral:pre_miRNA from 2 species